UGCAAAGAACUUUGAAGAGAGGGUUAAAAAGGACGUGAAACCGCUAAGAAGGAAACCGAUAGAGUUGACGCAACCUGGCGGCAUUCAGGCGGUUGGUCUAGCGGGCUGGCAUUUGUGCUCCUCGAUGAGGGUGCGGGUGCCUGGCCCUGCCGGACCGACUACUGCAUUUGCCGUCAGUAUGCGCCGAGAGUCGCGCUGGCUGCGGACGAGCCUCGCGCAGAGGUCCGCCUCAGGGUGGAAACCUGUGCGUGGGUAAGCCGAUUGCCGGUGCGAUUUUUGCGACUAGUGUGCCAUCUCCGCCUGUGUGCGCUGCGUGGGUUACGGUGGGCAGCUGUGCGAGCGGUCGCGUGCGAUCUGUUUGCGCUUCUGUUGGCCGUGGUGCCUGCGUGGUGCGCUGAGAUGGUGUCUCGGUGUGAAAGUCGACCACCUAUCGGACCCGUCUUGAAACACGGACCAAGAAGUUUAGCAUAUGCGCGAGUCAUUGGGUGCGAAACCUAAAGGCGUAAUGAAAGUGAAAUCCUGGUGAGCGAUAUGGGAUCCGCUGCGGAGUUUGCCGCGCGGCGAACCAUGGCCCCGUUCCGACUGCUUGCAGUGGGGCGGAGGUAGAGCGCAUAUGCUGAGACCCGAAAGAUGGUGAACUAUGCCCGAGCAGGACGAAGCCAGAGGAAACUCUGGUGGAGGUCCGAAGCGGUUCUGACGUGCAAAUCGAUCGUCUGACUCAGGUAUAGGGGCGAAAGACUAAUCGAACUAUCUAGUAGCUGGUUCCCUUCGCA
rnacentral:rRNA from 1 species